CCCGAGAUGGACUUUCCUCCCCUUCGCCCCCCCUCUAGUCCCUAUGGAAAAACCAGGAGAGGGAAGGAGAUGUGCUGGAUCCCAGCGUUGGAACGGGAAGUGGGGGAGGGGAGACAGGCUCGAGGAAGACCCGGAGCGGAUUUUGCAGGUAGUGGAGUAAAAGGCGCUUUGCCCGGUGAGGGGAGAAAUGGGAGCGAUCUGGAAGGGGUCUGCAAAACCCGGGUUGGAUUAGACAGAGAUGGGAGGAACGAAGGCAGCUGCGACAGGGCCAAAUGCACCCCGGGCACGCAAAUUUCGGGCCGGAUUCUUCCUCGGGAGACGGAGUAAUGCGUCAUGCCUAAUGCAGUGGAAACAAGCAAGACCUGGCCUAGAGUUUCCAGACCUGGGCUCGCAGGGGGCUCCGGGAGGGGGCUAUUUAGUGGCUGAGGCGGCGUGGGCUGCCCUCGUCUUCCUGGCAGCGACGUGCAAGAAGGAGGGGCAAGAGGAGGGCUGGACUCGGGCACGAAAGGAUCUGGAGCGCCGGCUGCACCGAAGCAGGCAGGUAAAAGCGGUUUCAGGAUCCAGGGCGAUGCGAAGGGAAUGCAAUGAGGAGGCUGCUACCCUGGGAGACCAGACCUACAAUAUAAGGCAAGGGAAGACCGCAAAGCCAGGACUGGAGUGUGCGGGAUGGGACAAGACCCUAGCUAAAGAUCUGUGGCAACUGGUCAAGGACUGGGAACUGACCGGGUUGCAGGAGCGGAGAGGGUGGGUGUUCGGGGGAGGUUAG
rnacentral:lncRNA from 1 species